rnacentral:rRNA from 1 species
UCGAACGGAGCGCCCGGACGGAGUAUUUCGGUACCUUUACCGGGUGGCUGAGUGGCGGACGGGUGAGUAACGCGUGGACAACCUGCCGUGUACAGGGGGAUAACAGCCUUAAACGGCUGCUAAUACCGCAUAUGCGCACAGUGCCGCAUGGCACAGGGCGGAAAGCCUGGAUCUUAUCUAGUACGGUACACGAUGGGUCCGCGUCUGAUUAGGUAGUUGGCGGGGUAACGGCCCACCAAGCCCACGAUCAGUAGCCGGCCUGAGAGGGCGGACGGCCACACUGGGACUGAGACACGGCCCAGACUCCUGCGGGAGGCAGCAGUGGGGAAUAUUGCACAAUGGGGGGAACCCUGAUGCAGCGACGCCGCGUGAAGGAAGAAGUAUCUCGGUCCCCCAACUUCUAUCAGCAGGGAAGAAAGAGGACGAUACCUGACUAAGAAGCCCCGGCUAACUACGUGCCAGCAGCCGCGGUAAUACGUAGGGGGCGAGCGUUAUCCGGAUUUACUGGGUGUAAAGGGAGCGUAGACGGCCAUGCAAGCUCGGUGUGAAAGGUGCGGGCACAACCCGCAGACUGCACUGACAACUGUAUGGCUGGAGUGCCGGAGGGGCAGGCGGAAUUCCUGGUGUAGCGGUGAAAUGCG